AAAGAAGAACACGUAUGAGAGUAACUGUUCAUACGUUGACGGUAUUUAACCAGAAAGUCACGGCUAACUACGUGCCAGCAGCCGCGGUAAUACGUAGGUGGCAAGCGUUAUCCGGAUUUAUUGGGCGUAAAGAGAGUGCAGGCGGUUUUCUUAAGUCUGAUGUGAAAGCCUUCGGCUUAACCGGAGAAGUGCAUCGGAAACUAGGAUAACUUGAGUGCAGAAGAGGGUAGUGGAACUCCAUGUGUAGCGGUGGAAUGCGUAGAUAUAUGGAAGAACACCAGUGGCGAAGGCGGCUACCUGGUCUGCAACUGACGCUGAGACUCGAAAGCAUGGGUAGCGAACAGGAUUAGAUACCCUGGUAG
rnacentral:rRNA from 1 species